rnacentral:rRNA from 1 species
UACGUAGGGUGCGAGCGUUAAUCGGAAUUACUGGGCGUAAAGGGUGCGCAGGCGGAUAUGUAAGUUAGAUGUGAAAUCCCCGAGCUUAACUUGGGAAUGGCAUUUAAGACUGCAUGUCUAGAGUUUGUCAGAGGGGGGUAGAAUUCCAAGUGUAGCAGUGAAAUGCGUAGAGAUUUGGAGGAAUACCGGUGGCGAAGGCGACCCCCUGGGAUAAAACUGACGCUCAUGCACGAAAGCGUGGGUAGCAAACAGG